rnacentral:rRNA from 1 species
GACGAACGCUGGCGGCGUGCCUAAUACAUGCAAGUUGAGCGCUGAAGGUUGGUACUUGUACCAACUGGAUGAGCAGCGAACGGGUGAGUAACGCGUGGGGAAUCUGCCUUUGAGCGGGGGACAACAUUUGGAAACGAAUGCUAAUACCGCAUAAAAACUUUAAACACAAGUUUUAAGUUUGAAAGAUGCAAUUGCAUCACUCAAAGAUGAUCCCGCGUUGUAUUAGCUAGUUGGUGAGGUAAAGGCUCACCAAGGCGAUGAUACAUAGCCGACCUGAGAGGGUGAUCGGCCACAUUGGGACUGAGACACGGCCCAAACUCCUACGGGAGGCAGCAGUAGGGAAUCUUCGGCAAUAGACGAAAGUCUGACCGAGCAACGCCGCGUGAGUGAAGAAGGUUUUCGGAUCGUAAAACUCUGUUGGUAGAGAAGAACGUUGGUGAGAGUGGAAAGCUCAUCGAGUGACGGUAACUACCCAGAAAGGGACGGCUAACUACGUG